UGGGCACCAGAAAUCCCCAUCGUCUUCCUCGGAUACCUUCCUUCCUUCAUUGUUUUACUCGCCGCCGGUGCGCCUCUCUACUCCUCGCCGUACUCUCCCCAGUCCGAGCGACCGGCCGACCCACCGCGGCUCGAUCUUCCGCUGCCGGUGCCCCACCUCUUCUCCUCCUCCGCUGCGCCCCCACCCCCUCUGCCCUUCACGUGCCGCCAUCGCCGUUUCCCUCCCCCCUGCCUGUCUCUGCCCGAUCCGCACUUCCGGCCUCUGCUUUCUGAGUUUACAAUGGGGAACAUGCUCACCUUCAUGCUUGGAACAACUGCACUGGUGGAUAAUAGCCAUCCAAGGCAACAUCACCACCCAGGAGCCAGCAGCAGCAGCAGCAACAGGAUAGCAGGCCAUCAGUUUGAACCGCUGAGCAUUCUGGCUUUCAGGGCUAUGUCUGAGCACAUAGGACGCAGUGAAGUGUUCUGUCGAAAGCAGAUAGCAAAUGACCGGUUUCGGCUGCGCUGAGCAUUCUGGUUUGCGGAGCAAUCCAUGCCAAGGGGAUAUCAGCAAACGAUCCAUUCAAACUGUGUGGCAUUCUCAUCUUUGGAGUUUUGUCCGACUACAUCCUUUACGGCGUAGAGGAACCAGCGAUUGAUCUGCUUGGAGACCUUCCAGAGGGCGUACUGUGCACAGUUUUCUCAAAAUUGUCUCUGGAAGAGGCUUUAAGAACCAGUGCCGUCUCAAGAAAAUGGAGAUACUUGUGGACAGUUUGUCCUAAACUGAGUUUCGAUGGAGAUACAAUAUGUGGCAAGAAUAAUUAUGGGGAAAGAGUGUAUAAUCUAGUGUUCAGUCGCAUUGUUAAUAGGGUCCUGGGACAGUGCCGUGGCAAGUUGGUUGAAGAGCUUGAAAUCAAAAUUGAGUUGAACUGGAUGCUGGUUGAGCAUCUUGAUAAUUGGGUUCGUUUUGCUGUAUCAUCGCGGACAAAGGCACUAGUUUUUGAUUUAGCACGAGAACAGCGUCAACCUCCAGGUUCUGAUGAUCAGUACAAAUUUCCAUUUGAGCUUUUGGACGGGGACAGUAUAUGCCGUCUACAGAAACUUCAUCUUAGCUUUGUAGAUUUCCAGCCACCAAUGCAUUUUAGUGGUUUCCCUAACCUAAGGAAGCUUGAUCUGAGCAUAGUGAAUGUCAGUGGGAAGGAUAUUCAACAUAUGUUGUCAAACUGCUGUAACCUGGAGUGGCUGAGUAUUGUUAGAUGUCAUCUCAAUGGUGAACUAAAGGUUAACGGCCCACUGCCUCACCUGCUAUACUUGAAAAUUGCCUCCUGCAGAUUAACAAAUAUAGCAUUCAAUGCUGUGAACCUUGCGACUUUCGAAUACAGAGGAGUGGCGGUGCCUAUUGACCUCAGUAAAUCAUCAGAACUGAAAUGUGCAAACAUAUGGUAUCUUGGAGACACGUUGGAGCACACUAUUACAGUUCUUGGUGAAGUGCUUAUAAAUGUGCAACAGCUGACCCAUAAUGCAGACUGUAAAUCACCAGAGGUUUGCUCUUCAACCAUCUUUUAUAUCGUGGAUUAUCCUAUUAUAUUAUGUAUUCGUGUCAUGGCCUUUGAUUAUCUAUCUUUCAGGUUCCCUGUUUGAUGUCUUACCCGUUCAAGUUUUCUCGGAUGACAUAUUUACAACUGAAGUUGGUCUAUGUCGAAGAAAUCGACAGCUUGUCGUUGGUCUCUUUUCUGAGGUCUGCUCCUUCAAUUGAGAAGUUAGAGCUGCAUUUCUGUAAUGUUGCUUAUGAGCGCGUGGUACAAGAACCUAAACCUAUGAGGAAGCUUUCGGAGCGUCUGUUCAACGACAUGAAGAGCUUGCAUAUUACAGGAUUUGAAGCAUGCAAGGGGGAAGUUGAGUUCCUUCUGCACAUGGUAGAAAAUGCCCCUGCAUUGGAGUUCUUAUGUAUAGAUCACUCGUAUCAAUAUCCACCAGAAGGCCUUCACAAAGACAAAGAACUGGAUGUUGACUUGCUUCAUACAACUAUAAGAAGGCAUCUUAAAGGAAAGAUUUCACCCAGUUGCACCUUGAUUUUACUUUAAGGGAUCAGUUGUUGUAGGGAUGUAUAGCCAUGGAUCAGUUGGUUAAUUUUCUUAGUUUAGUUUCACUGGCAUUAACAAUCAACGAUGCUGGUGCCAUUUCUAUCUCCUUGAGACAAGAACAAUGUUGGUCUCAUUUAGUGAAAGGAGGGUUCGAUCCCUUUUGUAAGCAUCAACAUUGUAACUACAUAUCAUGGAUAAGCACUGCAGGCACUUUUGAUUUCC